AUGCUUAGUACGGCGAGUGAGCGGCAAAAGCUCAAAUUUGAAAUCUGGUACCUUCGGUGCCCGAGUUGUAAUUUGGAGAGGGCAACUUUGGGGCCGUUCCUUGUCUAUGUUCCUUGGAACAGGACGUCAUAGAGGGUGAGAAUCCCGUGUGGCGAGGAGUGCGGUUCUUUGUAAAGUGCCUUCGAAGAGUCGAGUUGUUUGGGAAUGCAGCUCUAAGUGGGUGGUAAAUUCCAUCUAAAGCUAAAUAUUGGCGAGAGACCGAUAGCGAACAAGUACAGUGAUGGAAAGAUGAAAAGAACUUUGAAAAGAGAGUGAAAAAGUACGUGAAAUUGUUGAAAGGGAAGGGCAUUUGAUCAGACAUGGUGUUUUGUGCCCUCUGCUCCUUGUGGGUAGGGGAAUCUCGCAUUUCACUGGGCCAGCAUCAGUUUUGGUGGCAGGAUAAAUCCAUAGGAAUGUAGCUUGCCUCGGUAAGUAUUAUAGCCUGUGGGAAUACUGCCAGCUGGGACUGAGGACUGCGACGUAAGUCAAGGAUGCUGGCAUAAUGGUUAUAUGCCGCCCGUCUUGAAC
rnacentral:rRNA from 1 species